CCAUCCACCGUUGUCUUUGCCAGCCCCGUCUGACCCGCAUGGCUGGGCUGGUGGGUAGAGGUGGAGAGAUGU
rnacentral:snoRNA from 1 species